rnacentral:lncRNA from 1 species
CCCAGCACACCACGCCCCCUCCCCUUCCCCCCAUCCUCCUCUAUGCCAUAAAAACCAAGCAGCAGAGCUGCACCGAGACGGGAUGGGGGGGUGUACGACCCCCCCCCUCCAUCCCUACAGUCCCACUCAACCCCUGAGAAUGGCACAGCCCGUGGCACUGUGGCGGCCCCAUAGCCAUGGGGCAGAGAUGGGGGGCUGAGGUUCACGGCGGGGGGGGCUGCAGGCGGGCGAGCUGCUGGGGGGUGGCGAUGGCACGGAGGGCCCCAUUCUCUCGUUCCAGCGCCGCCCGCCGCUCGCUCAGCUCCUUGAUCUGCUCCCGCAGCAGCUCCACCUCCUCACGCACCGCCAGCAGCAGAUGGCUCUUCACCAGGUCCAUGGCCUGCUCGAUCUUGUUGUCAAUGGCGCUGACCCCACUGCUGCUGGAGCCGUCCUCGCCGAGCCCGGCUCCCGCCAGCCCCAGGCGCGCGCUGAGCCCUUCGGUGCCGCCCCCGGGGCGCUGUCCGUGCGGCGGGUGGGGGGGUGGGGGGCGGGGCAGCGCCUCUCGCCCGUUGUGCCCCCAGGAACGGGGCAGCUGCGCGGGGCCGGCCGGAGCGGGGCGCGACGGGGCGGAGCCGAGGGACAGCGGCACCCGGGCGGACCCCGCCGCCUCCCGCUCGUAGAAAUCCCGGCAGAUCCACCGGCCCCGCCGCAGCGUUUCUCCCGCGGCCGGCAGCCGCACCAGGCGGAACCGGGAAGGCCCGGCGGUUCCGGCCUCAACGGCUUCCGCUUCGGGAUCGGAGCCGGCCCCGCCGCGCACGCUGGUGAUGGCGAAGCCGCUCCGCUUCCGGCUCAUGGCGGCGGGCGCCGCAUGGCGGGGCCGGGCGGGGGGCGCGGGGCCGCGGAACGGCGGCGGUGCGGAGCCGCGGUGACAUCUGGGCGGAGCCCGGAAGUCCCGCCCCCCGCCGCGCCUCCCGUGCCGGCCACGCCCCCUUCGCCACCAAGCCACGCC